rnacentral:rRNA from 1 species
AACGAACGCUGGCGGCAGGCCUAACACAUGCAAGUCGAACGAAGUCUUCGGACUUAGUGGCGCACGGGUGAGUAACACGUGGGAAUAUACCUUACGCUGGGGGAUAACAUCGGGAAACUGAUGCUAAUACCGCAUACGCCCUUCGGGGGAAAGAUUUAUCGGCGAAAGAUUAGCCCGCGUCCGAUUAGCUAGUUGGUGAGGUAAUGGCUCACCAAGGCUCCGAUCGGUAGCUGGUCUGAGAGGAUGACCAGCCACACUGGGGCUGAGACACGGCCCAGACUCCUACGGGAGGCAGCAGUGGGGAAUAUUGGACAAUGGGCGCAAGCCUGAUCCAGCCAUGCCGCGUGAGUGAUGAAGGCCUUAGGGUUGUAAAGCUCUUUCACCCACGACGAUGAUGACGGUAGUGGGAGAAGAAGCCCCGGCUAACUUCGUG